GCUCCGAUGGCCUAAUGGUUAGAGCGUCUGCCUCUGAUGAGGGAGGUCGUGGGUUCAAACCCUGGUCGAGUCA